rnacentral:rRNA from 1 species
CCUACGGGAGGCAGCAGUGGGGAAUAUUGGACAAUGGGCGAAAGCCUGAUCCAGCCAUGCCGCGUGUGUGAAGAAGGCCUUCGGGUUGUAAAGCACUUUCAGUGGGGAAGAAAGCCUUGGGGCUAAUACCCUCGAGGAAGGACAUCACCCACAGAAGAAGCACCGGCUAACUCCGUGCCAGCAGCCGCGGUAAUACGGAGGGUGCGAGCGUUAAUCGGAAUUACUGGGCGUAAAGCGCGCGUAGGCGGUCUGAUAAGCCGGUUGUGAAAGCCCCGGGCUCAACCUGGGAACGGCAUCCGGAACUGUCAGGCUAGAGUGCAGGAGAGGAAGGUAGAAUUCCCGGUGUAGCGGUGAAAUGCGUAGAGAUCGGGAGGAAUAACAGUGGCGAAGGCGGCCUUCUGGACUGACACUGACGCUGAGGUGCGAAAGCGUGGGUAGCAAACAGGAUUAGAUACCCCUGUAGUC